CUUCCCCCUCCCCCAGACCUUUUCUUCUUCACACCCUAUUUUCCAUGUCUUCUAUUUCAUUUUUUUUUUCUCAUCACUCUUCUCUACAACUUAAUUUCUUCAUCAAUUCAUUUUUUCUCAUCAAUGAUCAAACCCAUCAUAAAUUUCACCACCCCUCUUCAUCUUCAAACCCAAUUUUUGUUCUCCAUCUUGAACCACGCCCCCCCCCCCCCCCACCACCCACUUGCUUUCCUCCUCUUUUUUUAUUUUUUUUAUUUUAUAAACCCCCUCAUUUUAACUACCCUAUAGGUAUUAUAUUUUCAAAGGGGCGAGCUACGAUUUUGAUGGCGGGUUUGGUGAUAGGUGCAAAAUUUACAGUGGUUCUUACAAUUUUGGAUGGUUUCAAUGGUGGUGAUGUGAUUCCAGUGGUGAAUUUUGAAUAUAUGGUGGUCUCUGAUGGUCGAUUUGGAUCUAUGGUGGUUUUGGUUACUGGGUGUUGGUCGACAAGUUUGUUCACCGGCCACCAUUUCUCCCGGCGAGGUUGGCUUAAUUUUUUAUUUUUUUUUUGUGGAGAAGAUAAGUAUGAUACUUCGCAUCGCGUGGAACGCAGUAGCGACAAAUUCAUGAGAAAUUUACACUUUCAGAGAGCUACGAUUGAUUAAGUUGUGAAUCUAGUAGUGGUGGGAUGAAUUUGGUGGUGGGUGAUUAUCCAUGGUGGUUGAGUGGUUGCAUUUUUUAUGAAUGUGAAGGAGAAGCAAUUAAAUGA